ACAAAACAGGCGGGAGGAAAUUGGUCUGAUCUAGCAGCAGGAGCUGGUACUUUCUCAAGCUGAACAGCUCAGUGUGUGUGGAAGGGGGUCAGACAGACCUGUUUCACUGACUGAUGGACUCCCAGGUUGAAGCUGUGAGAUAAGUGCAUGCUGCUCUUCUCCUGUGAAAUGAGUUGCUGACCUCAAAGUCUGGGAAGACUUCUAACAGUGCAUAGAUCAUCUUGAAGACUGAAAAUUCGAGAAAAGUUACCCUCAUGUGAAAAAAAAAAAGGGUCCAGACCUUUAGCAGACUUGGAAGAAAGAAGGGUUUGUUCAGAUGUUUGAACUGUCUGCUGCUGCUGCCUAGUGCUCAGAACAUCACAGUUGAUCCCCUGGCAUUACAAAAGCAUCGACUAGGAGCCCAGUCACCACAGUUUGCUACUGAGUGCCAGGACAUUAUAGUUGCUCUGGUGACUAUUCCUCCCAGUGCAGUCGUGUAUCACUGCUACCCUGUCUGUCCAGGAGGCAGAAAAGUGAAACUCAUGCUUGGCACUUCCAUAGGGAUCUCUGAGUGCUAGGAGACAAAGAUGAAAACCAGCUGAUAGGAUACAGGCAACCAUUACAGAGGAAAUACUGGAUGUCAGAAGAGGGGCGGGAAGCAAUGCCAAGGUCCAGAACACCUUUGGGUGCUGCAACCACCUGAAACCUCCUGAAAUCACUCACCAGGGCUCAAACCACUUUUAAUAAACAGGUAACUAAAAUUCAAGCACUUCCUUUAUAAAGCCUUUUGGUUUCAGGAAAGUGAGUCACUGUCUGACAGUUCGGUGGGAGGUUAUUCAUCCAGGAUUGCUUCACUCCUUCGUGGAGAUGCUUGGUGAGCAGCUCUGCAAGCUGGCAGGCUGCUUUAGCCAGGCAUGUACUCCUACAAGUGCCACCUGCUCUGUUAUAAUCCUUGCCUCGCUGAAGUCGCCAGCAUCUUUCUGCUUGAUCUGCAGGGUAGCUCCCUCGUGUUGAACUUGGCUGCUCUUUUAGGAGAGUAACAGUUUGAGGAGCUGUUUGGCUCAGUAGCACUUGGCAACCUCAGGAAGCAAAUGCAUUCAGCUGGGCAGUGGGCACACGUACGUGCAAGGGGGGCUGCUGUGUGCCCCAUCCUGCAGUGUUAGUUCACAGCAUGCCUGUGCCUCGGAGGCACUCGCUGUGCAGCUGACACAGCCCUCAGGCAUCAGGCAGCUGGGGAAAUUGCCACAGAAGCUUUAGCAAGAAAACACAUAAUAGCCAAAGUCGAAGGGUGAAUUGAGAUACAGUGGGGGAGGCAGCUAUUAUGUUCUAGCUCUCUUUAAAAACCAUUCUGAGACGUGUAAGGUAUUGUGUUGUGUUUGUUGCUGGAUUUAAGACUGCUGACUGCCAGGCGGUGAAGGUCACUUUGUGCUUCCUUCUUUAAGGCAAGUUGCCGCUGUUUAUAUUAACAAGGGAGCAGCAGUGCUGGCUAACUCCUGGCAUGUUAACCUGCAUCUCUCCCGGGCAGCAGGCCUCUGCUGCGCUCCCUCAGGACCUGUAUAGUUGGAGAGUUGUAUAUCAUGUAGGUGUCAAGCCCAAUCAGAGCUUCCUUGUCAGGAUGUGUUAAGGCAGCUGCCUGCAAUUUGUGUUACAGUGUGCAUCUCUGCCAAUAAACUACUUUUGCUCUCCCUUGUGCUGCGUCUGCCGUCUGCAGGGCUGCUGGGAGAGCUGCCAGAGAGAGAGAGCAACUGCAGGCACAAAGGUGGCUGGGUGGCACCUCUUGUAAUCUGUGUUCUGCACGAUGUAUUGAUUGACUUUGUGGAUGGAUCCCAGGGGCUGAACACAAACAGCAUGUACCAGAGCAUGACAUUUUAAUCAGAGACAGGUUUAACUACUGGGAGCAGCUCGGGUAAUGUCUACUUUAAAAAAAAAAAAAUUAAAGAAAGAAAAUUGCACCAAAAAAAAAAAAAGGGGUGUAUGCUGAUUAUUGCUUAGGAACUCUGUGUAGUCGUGCAGUUAAACAUGAGAUACAAAUGAGUAGGUUGUGACAGGACCAAGAGCACUUUGAAGUAAAGCUGUAGUAAGUGUAAAUUGGGGAUACAAGUCAAGACACUGAAAUAAGUUUUUUGCAUGUGGAUGCGCAGACACCAGGGCUAAGCAGCAGAUCCUGGUCAGUGCAGCACCAUUCCUGCCAGCCAGCUGUAAAAUCACUUGGCUCAGGGGAUAGAAAGGUGUUCAUGCUGCAGCAGGUUGGGCUGGCAGGGAACUAGAGGGAUUUAAAAGAAGGUGGCUGGAGUUUUCUUUGUAUUUGCAAUGAUAGGGAGUUGUGAGAAAGAUGGAGCUCUUUUGGGGUUGGGUCAGCUCUCCCCACCCAUAUCUUGAGUAAGGGUUGAAAAAUGACUGCCUCAGAAACACCAGGGAAUGUUAUCCUCCUCCUUAGCCUGUAAUACACUGUGUAGCAGAGUUUAACCUUCUAUAGUAAAAUCUCAGGGUCCCUGAAGAGCUCUGUUAACCUUGAAAAUCUGUGUAGUAUGUUACUUUCUACCUGCAAAGUAGAAAGCACCUCUUAUUCCCAGGCAUGAAUGACACUGAGUCUGGUCCAGAGGCAGACUUGAAAGGACAUCCAUCUGCUGUUUGUGGGAAUUUAACUGAGCAGAAACUUCUGAAACACCAAAAACAGAGAGAAUAGCAGAACUAUUCCCAAAGCGCUGCCUGCCUUCUAAUUGCUGGCCAUCUCCUUUUGUGAAAAGAAGCAAGAGAAAGAGUUCACACAAGCACGAGUGCUUUGCAGACUUCUCUUUUGGGGAAAGCAGUUGUCUUUCUUCUCUUGUUUUUGGAUGCUUAAAAUGAGGAAAGCAACAUAUCAGACUGCAGAGAGAGGAAAACCAGUCAAUGUUACCUUGGUAUCUGAUGAUCAAAGGUAUGACCCCCCUCUGCUGUGCCUUGAGAACGGCAGUUAACUGUUUCCUGAGGGAACAGCACGUAGUUCAAAGCAGGAA